CUUGCUUUGAAUACUAGUGGGCAGGUGGGUGAAUGAAUUAGAAUAACAAGGAAAUAAUUCUUUCUAAUAUUUAUCUCUUGAGACCAGUAGGUCGGUGAUCUUGCAGGGUUGUAUUUCCUCCUCCUCCUGAAGUGGAACAUGGAUCAGAAGCCUGCUGUAUAGAACAGGUAAAAGCAUAUGUUCCCGGAUCCUGAGGUUCAUGCACAGAUAAGUGUGAAAACUGCUGACCAAGUCCAAAUGCAAAAAGACCUACUUCCAGCUUUCAUAACCUGUGCAUUCACACAAAACCAUGCAUCUGAUGCAUUUCUUGAGAACAGUGCCCACAUUUUACAUUACUUUGUCAAGAACACAAGCAGGAAAACCUUCUUGAGUGAUACCUUGGGAGGAGCUUGUUGCUUAGCUCUUUAAGGGCAGAGACUUCCUUCCUUUGACAAUAUCUAGGUCCCUGCUGUAACAAGUGAUGGUAGUAGAUCAGGAUGUGUACCUAGGAUUGCUUCUUGACCUGUGAACCAGCCACACUGAGGACUUUGCCUUGGCUGUUUCUCCGUGUUUGAGGUGGACUGUAAUGAUAAUUAAGCUAUUCAACCUUACAGUGGUUGGUGUGGUCACAUUAGGUAGGUGGACGGCUGAACCAAGCACUGUAUUAAGUGGCAGUCUCUGAAGUAGACACUGUCAUAUAUACAUUGAACCUCAUAUCAUUUGAAAGUGCUUGUUAGGGCAUGUGAGCCUACAGUUGGGCUGUGGCCUCUAAAAUGAGGGUGUAUUCAUGGUAGGUUUCCUUAUUAUGAUUGUUUCAUUAUUUGAUGUAAAAGUUGCUCUAGCAAUAAUGUAUAUAUAUGGAAUCAGGUGUUUUCAAGUUUAAUGCAUUAUGUCCCAUCGUCCCAUUUAUGGAACACCUAUAGGAAUUUAAAUCGAGCAACAAAUAUACCACUUGUGGCAACUUUGAAAAAUAUUUGUGGUUUUAGAGUUCUUCUGAAGAAAAUAACAAGUGAAUAAUUACUGAGCAUAUCUAUUAAUGUUAAUUCAUUAGUAAUAUUAAUAUUUAUGAUAAAAAUUAUACAAUGAACUCUAUAUUAUUAUUUCCAACCUAUUUUAAGUCACCUAUGUUGGUCUCAUUGAACUAUUCAUAGAAAUUGAAGAUUUGGGACUUAAUGGGUUAAGUAACAGGAAAAUGUGUGAGACUGGGAUGGGAUACAAAAGAAGGUAGGUAUAUCCUGGGAUGAAGGAGGAAGGGAGGCAGGUGGUCCUGGGUGGUAGUGGGCAGUACGUCUGAAAACCAGAUAUGAAAUGGAGCCCACCAAGGUGAGAGAUGAAGGCCUGAGGAUCCAUAGGCUAGAGGAAGCUACAGACUGUCAGGCAUCUAGAAGGUAAGAACUCUCCCUUUUUGAAGCCAGCUGGGAAGAGGACACCUUCUGUGCAGAUGUCUGGUUUUAGCAGUAUGGUUGUGAGAGGAGGAAGCUCCAUUCUGGGAAGGCACCCACCUAUUAGAGGAGAGAGGGCAAAAAAGAGAUUCCCUGGACUUAAGCCAAUUUUUCUUAGCUUGAUAUUCCCCAUGAACCUUCAGGCUGAAGAAACUUACUGACCAUUAGUACCUUUACAGGUUCAGAAGUCCCAAAAGUAGAAGUCUUGCUUGCAC
rnacentral:lncRNA from 1 species